rnacentral:rRNA from 1 species
AACGAACGCUGGCGGCAUGCCUAACACAUGCAAGUCGAACGAGACCUUCGGGUGUAGUGGCUCACGGGUGCGUAGCGCGUGGGAACCUUCCCUUAUGUUCGGGAUAACUCCCCGAAAGGGGUGCUAAUGCCGGAUAAUGUCUGCUGACCAAAGAUUUAUCGCGCUUGUGGGGGCAGGCGUUGUAUUAGCUUGUUGGGAAGGUAAAAGCCUACCAGGGCGAGGAUCCAUAGCUGGGCUGAGAGGCAGAUCAGACACACUGGGAGUGAGAAGCGGUCGAGAAUCCUACGCGAGGCAGGAAUGGGGAAUAGUGCAAAACGGGCGAAAGGAUGAAGCAGCACUGAUGGGUGAGCGCUGAUGGUCGUAAAGAAGAAAAGCUCUUUUAACCGCGAUGAUAAUGACAGUACCGAAAGAAUAAGCUCCGGCUAACUACGUG